rnacentral:rRNA from 1 species
AAUCAACGCUGGCGGCGUGCCUCAGACAUGCAAGUCGAACGAUUAAAGCUCUCUUCGGAGAGUGUAUAGAGUGGCGCACGGGUGAGUAACACGUAAGUAAUCUACCUUUGAGUGGGGAAUAACGUCCGGAAACGGACGCUAAUACCGCAUAAUGCAGCGGCAUCGCAGGAUGACAGUUGUUAAAGAUUUAUCGCUUGAAGAGGAGCUUGCGGCAGAUUAGCUAGUUGGUAAGGUAAUGGCUUACCAAGGCUACGAUCUGUAACCGGUCUAAGAGGACGGUCGGUCACACUGACACUGAAUAACGGGUCAGACUCCUACGGGAGGCAGCAGUCGGGAAUUUUGGGCAAUGGGCGAAAGCCUGACCCAGCAACGCCGCGUGAAGGAUGAAGUAUUUCGGUAUGUAGACUUCGAAAGAAUGGGAAGAAUAAAUGACGGUACCAUUUAUAAGGUCCGGCUAACUACGUGCCAGCC